UGUUACUCAGGGCCAGAUAACUACAUACCUGAAGACAUCUUUAGAGGAUGUAGUAAAGGUAAAAAGGGACAUUUUAAGUAAUUAGAGGAAGUAAUGAACCCCAAAUCAGUCUUUCUGUAUGCUACAUGUAUUGUAGUUAAUGCUUCAGUCAGAUGGAAAAUUUGUUUUUUGCUUCUAGAUGUCCUGUGUUGAAGGUUAUUUUUAAAAUUCUAGGUUUUGUUGACUAUCUUCUGAUUUUAGAUGUUUAAUCUUACCCUUUUCUCUACUUGCUUACCCUUUUUCUAACCUAUCUUUUCUUUCCUUUUCUCCUCUCUUCUCUGAUGCCCAUACACCCCCCAACUAACCAACCUUACAGGUCCAUUCAGAUGAUGAAGUGUUUGAAAGAGGAUUGAAUGCUCUAGUUCAGCUAAGUGUCGUUGUUGGUCCUUCUCUAAACGACCAUCUGAAGCAUCUGCUUACAAGCGGAAGCCUUAGCAUCAUCAAAUCUAAAAUUCCAACAUACUGCUCCAUAUGCUGUUGAAGAAGGGAGCCAACAAAAAUUGUUUUUUCUACCUGGUGACGUGUCAAGCACUGACC
rnacentral:sRNA from 1 species